rnacentral:lncRNA from 10 species
CUGCCUUCAGGAAUCACACAUUCUGUUCCCUUCAUCCAUGCGUUAUUUUUCAAAGUUCAGUAGCCUUCCGGGGAACAGAGCUACACCAUAUACUUUGUUCACAAAAGAGUGGAGAUUAGGAUUGAGGAAGGAGCUGACUUCUGAAAGUGGGAGCAAAAUUAUCUUGGUCAACUGCUGAGCUCCCAAAGAGGAUAACCACAUUCUGGGAGGACUCUAGGCUUAGUAUUUAAGCAUAGUGGGCUUAUAGAAGAAAAUCUUCAGAAUGGCAAGUAGAGGUGGGGAAAUUCUUCUUUGUCUUACUCAGUUUCCCUACCCACUCCUGCCCUAAAGAAGUAGGAUUAUUGAUUGGUGAAUUUGGAAAGAAAACUGGCAUUCCUCUUCCAGUCUCCUCCUCUCUCCUUGGGGAGUUAGCCUGCCCUCCCAUACUGCACAUGUUCUGCUUACUUUUGUGCCACAGCACAAAAGAGAGGUGGCCUGUGGCUUUCCAGCUCUCCCUAUGAUUUAGUGGUAGUCUGCCUAUUUUCAAGGUUCAUUAUUAUUGCAUAAAGAGGGGAGCUGCAUUCCCCAGCAU